rnacentral:rRNA from 1 species
AUUGAACGCUGGCGGCAUGCUUUACACAUGCAAGUCGAACGGCAGCGCGGGCUUCGGCCUGGCGGCGAGCGGCGAACGGGUGAGUAAUACAUCGGAACGUGCCCAGUAGUGGGGGAUAGCUCGGCGAAAGCCGGAUUAAUACCGCAUACGACCUGAGGGUGAAAGCGGGGGAUCUUCGGACCUCGCGCUAUUGGAGCGGCCGAUGGCAGAUUAGCUAGUUGGUGGGGUAAAGGCCUACCAAGGCGACGAUCUGUAGCUGGUCUGAGAGGACGACCAGCCACACUGGGACUGAGACACGGCCCAGACUCCUACGGGAGGCAGCAGUGGGGAAUUUUGGACAAUGGGCGAAAGCCUGAUCCAGCAAUGCCGCGUGUGUGAUGAAGGCCUUCGGGUUGUAAAGCACUUUUGGCGGGAACGAAAAGGACUGUGCCAAUACCACGGUUCGAUGACGGUACCCGCAGAAUAAGCACCGGCUAGCUACGUG